UAAUACGAAGGGGGCUAGCGUUAAUCGGAAUUACUGGGCGUAAAGCGCACGCAGGCGGUUUGUUAAGUCAGAUGUGAAAUCCCCGGGCUCAACCUGGGAACUGCAUUUGAAACUGGCAAGCUAGAGUCUCGUAGAGGGGGGUAGAAUUCCAGGUGUAGCGGUGAAAUGCGUAGAGAUCUGGAGGAAUACCGGUGGCGAAGGCGGCCCCCUGGACGAAGACUGACGCUCAGGUGCGAAAGCGUGGGGAGCAAACAGGAUUAGAUACCCUGGUAGUCCACGCUGUAAACGAUGUCGAUUUGGAGGUUGUGCCCUUGAGGCGUGGCUUCCGGAGCUAACGCGUUAAAUCGACCGCCUGGGGAGUACGGCCGCAAGAUUA
rnacentral:rRNA from 1 species